AGUCGUACGCUCCCGCCGCGAUCCGCUUCAGCUUCUGCGGGUCCCCGCCGCCGGUGCUCUCGUCCGCCUCCCCCAUCGCCGCGCUGGAUCCUCCUGCCUACUCUGGGGUUUGGGUUUGGAGACUCGUGAUCCGGGACGAAACGAAGAUGAGAGGUGUGACUGCAAAACUUUUCUGUUUUUUUUUUUGACAAACUCAGAAAUUUUCUGUUGGUGCGACCCAAAUGGGUUGCGAGAGGGAAGACUAUCCUUUUU
rnacentral:rRNA from 1 species